GACGAACGCUGGCGGCGUGCUUAACACAUGCAAGUCGAACGGAAAGGCCCUGCUUUUGUGGUGUGCUCGAGUGGCGAACGUGUGAGUAACACGUGAGUAACCUGCCCUUGACUUUGGGAUAACUUCAGGAAACUGGGGCUACUACCGGAUAUGCGCGCCUGCUGCAUGGUGUGGUUUGGAAAGUUUCGGCGGUUGGGGAUGGACUCGCGGCUUAUCAGCUUGUUGGUGGGGUAGUGGCUUACCAAGGCUUCGACGGGUAGCCGGCCUGAGAGGGUGACCGGCCACAUUGGGACUGAGAUACGGCCCAGAAUCCUACGGGAGGCAGCAGUGGGGAAUAUUGCACAAUGGGCGGAAGCCUGAUGCAGCAACGCCGCGUGCGGGAUGACGGCCUUCGGGUUGUAAACCGCUUUCGCCUGUGACGAAGCGUGAGUGACGGUAAUGGGUAAAGAAGCACCGGCUAACUACGUG
rnacentral:rRNA from 1 species